CGAAUAUAUCACUGGUAACUUUAGGAACCGCACGAAGGUCGCUCCAAGGUCGGCGUAACGAACCUACCUCGAAGUCCUUAGGAUCCAACGUCUUGGCAUCCAGAUUCCGACACUUCUCCACCAGCUGGAUGCCAUGGCUGCCCGGCAGUGCGUAUAUUUGGGCCACCUUCGGAGAUUGCGACAACUUCCAGCAGAUCGCGUGCUCCCGACCGCCGCUGCCAAUGACCAGAACGCGAUGCGACAUAAUUCCGCUGGAGUGGAUGAACCACUAAUCAAACUAAUUCGACUUAAUCACGUUUCCAGAGCAACAAUAACACCAAACUAAUGCGCACCCACGUGUUGAUCGAAAAGCACGCGCGAUUUGAAGUUUAAAGCCCGUUUCGAUUUCGAAUUCGGAUCAAACCGCUCGCUUCGACGCCUCUUUUUCAACUAAAAUCUGGGGGAAUCGAGAAGUUGGAAACUAGGUAGGCACAGUACGUAUGUUCAGGGGCUGAUAAGAGCGCUUCCAGUGGGUUGAUUGCAAUAUUUUCUACACAGACGAAAAUCAACUAGAUGGCAACUAGAUUUCUUCUAUAUGAACAGAAUUUAUAAAUGCUUUGAUAUAGAUGGUAUAGUUCAAGUUGAUAUAGUAGUAUAGUACAUACUACCCUUAAAAGUUAAACAAACAAUUUAUGCCUGUGCUAGCAUUUUUUUUUCCAGUCCAACCGCUGCUGUUUGUUGUUUUCAGCUGGACGAUUGGAAAAGUUGCUAAUAAAUAACAAAAACACGACGAUAGCCUUUCGGGACCCCUGCAAAAUCAACGAUCGCUGGGGGUAAAUGGAGCAGUAACUCAAAUUGCAUUCGCUUAUCAGGAUCACUUUGUAAAUCAAAUAAACAUCCGAAAGAUCUGGAAUUUUUCCUCAAAAAGUACAUACAUAUGUUGCUUAGCUGCUUUUAUGCGAAAUAUUAGAUCAGCUGUAUGCUAAAAGCUCUUCUUAAACAUACAUAUAUGUAUCUAGAAUAAAAGCUCAAAGCUAAACGAGGUAACUCCCCGGGUAAGCUUUUAAGAUCAGAAACUACUUUCUCUACCAUACAGGGAAAAACUAUAUUUAUAAUCCUAAAUAUCCCGAAAAAUAGCCUUAGGUACAUAACAUUCACCACAAUUAGUCAGACAGUUGAAUCGAAAAUCAUUAAUGAGGUCGAAAACAAGUCGAGUUUGAAUCAACAUCCGCUGAUUAAUUAGGUAUUGAAAGGCAACAGGCAAUAAAUAAGAUCGAAUCUCGAGCUCAAUAAUUUGCGGGAUCAUUGCACUGCAGAAAUCAUAAUCUUGCGUCACAUGUUAAAAUUACCGUUUCAUUUUAUUAGUAUGCAUUAUACAAAAUUUUGUGGUGUGAGUUGUAAAUUUACAAAAUAUCUACCAUAGUCCGUCAUAAAAUUUGUUUAAGAUAGGUGUGGAUACUCCUCGGGUCUAGCCAGUGGGUAGAUCAACGAAAACGCGCCACAUCGAACCUGAGUGCGACAUUGAAUCUCAGAAUGCGUCGUGGUUUGCGCUUUUCGCUUGAUUUUAAUUUUUAUAUAUAUAUAUAUUUAAAAACAUGCAUUUGGAAUCGAAGUACCAAGUUGAAAAUUAGAAGUUAUUGAAAGAGACAGGACUUGCUCCAUCGCCGCAAUCUGUUACCGCCGCAUCUGAAAGCCAAUGGAGCCGUUCGGACAGGGACCCUUGGGCAGGCGCAGGACUAGGUCGUUGAACGGAUGCGGGUGCUGGCCGAGCUGCUGCGCGUGAUGAUUCUGCUGCUGCUGAUGCUGGUGCUGCUGCGGCGACUGGAGCGACUGUUGGCGCAGGAGGGCAGCGGACACCGAUCCGCCCACAACAGGUGACCAGCUCUGCUGCGGAUUGGGAGA